GGCCGAGUGCUGCAGGCAGCGCCCGGCGUGGGGGGGGCGCUCACGCCUCGCGCCAGAACAAAACACUUAAGGGCACGCUUGAGACUGCACAGAACACUUCAGACGCGGCGGGUAAGCAGGCCCGCGCUCCCCCGAGGGGGCUGUAGGGGGGAAGGGCCACACGGCACAGUGAGUCUUUUCCUGGUCCCUUUGCUGGCCUCUGGCUCUGCGUCCUGAAGAUGCCUCCGCACCCCGGGGCCAGCGACUGAUCCUCCAGGAUGGGGGUCUUAAACCCAGAAUGCAGUUUCCAAGGAGGGACCCCCCUGGGGAGCAGGGCAGGCAAGGACACAUGUUGAUUGAUGACAGACUCCUCCUUUGUGACACGCAUCACAACUGUGAUUACACAAGUAUCAGUGGGGAUUUGCUUAGUGUCUCUCCCCUGGGAGGCUUGUGGUUGCCUGCGAGCAGGGUCUGCGACUGUCCCGUUAAGCCCGGACUGCCCCGUGCCUCUGCAGAGCCCGGCAUGCAGCAGGUGCUCGGGUAACACUGGCUGGGUGACCGAACGAGGCGCUCGCUCAGGUAGCAUCCCAUCAGGUGAGCCGGGGACAGUGAGGGCAAGCCCAGGCCCCCAGGUGGAGAGGGACGCUGGCCAGAGGGGAGAAUCAAAGCCUCAAUGGGGCAACGAGGAGUCAGCCAGAAGAGGGUGGCUCAGUCGGGGUGGAAAGCAGGUGUCAGGGGGGCCCCGAGGUUCAGCCUGGCGCCGGGCAGGAGGCCUGGGCGGGGAGUUGGGGACCAGGGGCUGGCGGCUGGCGGGUCUAGAGAAAGGAGCUGGGUGGGCAGGAGCAGGCGGUCUCUUGACUUCCUCCUGCGAAGACAUCAGAGAACAGGAAGAAUAGAGAGGGAGGGAUGAAGAGAAAGGGGGAAGGAUGAGGGGUGGAAAGGAAAGAGAAAGGGAGGGCACAGGAGAGAGGGAAGGGAGGAAAAGAGGAGGGGGGAGAGAUGGACACAGAAGAUGGACAGUAGGAAGGGAGGGAGGAAGAAAAGAAAGGGAACAGAGGGAAGGAAGGAGAGGAAAAGAGUUUCCCUCUUCUAUCAGUAGGCAAGGGAGGCGAGCGUGAUGAUUUUAUAAAACAUCACGAGAGGGAGACAAGCAGUGGAGGGAGGGAGCAGCUCCUCUGUGACCUGGGGGGGGGGAGCUUCUGCGUCUCCGAAACGACAGCCGAGAUUGACAGGAAGGAGACGGCGGGCAGGAGAGGAUAAACAGCAGCGAGGCUCAUUUGUAACUUUCAUUUUCAGGUAAGGAUGAUUGGCACGCGGGCGGCUGGGAGGAAGGCGGCCCCCUGAUCUUUAACUUGCAGGUCACGUGGAGAAAACUUUGAGAAAAUGCCCCGACAUGGAGAUGUCAGCGUGAGUGACAGCCCGUGCGAGGUGCCGCGCACCGGCCGCCUCGCUCACACGCAUGGCUUCACAGAGAUGAUGGCUGCCGUUUGAACAGGAAGACACCCUUCCCGGCCGGGGUCAGGAAACUGACGGGGCCCACCCACUAACAGAAAUAACUGUCAUUUGAGAUAAAAUGCUCGGUGGGAAACUUCAGAAAUCUAUUAGGUAAGACGGGGGGCUGUGAUGGGGCACCCAGGAACCACCGCAGGGGCGCUGGCGCCAAGACGUGGCGCCACGCGUGGGGGACGCUUAGAUCCAGAGUGGCCCACUCAGCCGGCCACACGGCCCCUCAUGCAGAGCGAGUCACCGCCUCGCCCUAAUUCACAGCCCACCUAGAUCUUCGCUGGGAGCUUUCCUUGCGGGACAGGGCAGGAGGCACCUGAGUGAAAACGUGAAUGACAGCACAGUUUCUGAUUGGACGGUCUCUUGCGGCAAAAACGUUUCUGAUGAUGGGGCUCUUUGGAGAAGGUUCUUUCCUGACAAAAAACAAAGCCCCCUGUGCACGCUCCUGAGAGAGGCUCAAAGCCUAGGACUUGCUCUGAGCUGUCACAGUGUCUUAUUUUUUGAGCAACUAAAAUACUGCAUCAAGAUACUCGGCUACUCAAAAGGAUAACAAGAGAGGACCACUGAGGUGCAGAGUGGUCAAGUGACUCUCCCAGGAAGAGCCAGUUUGUGAGAAAUGGAACCCUUCAACGCCAAGUCCUCUGACUGCAGGAACUGGGACACUCCUGACAGAUAUCUGGUGCAAGACGGGUGGAUUCAUUUGGAUGCAGCUCCGGAGUAAAAGCUCGCUCACUAGGCUCUGGGCGCCCUGAGUGACGCCGUGCCACUUCUCUGGAAACCACGGCCGGCAAUAGCCUGACAAGAGACGCGCUGUCGGCGCAGGAGGGCGGAGGCCGGUGGAAUCCUCUGCCUCAGUUUAUUAAAGUGCUUUCUGAGCAUUCAUCUAGAAUCA